CGAGUUCCAGGAAAUGCAGAAGUGAUCUUCCCCUUUUCAACAUGAGACUAGAGCAGUGUUAGUGAGCAGGUUGGACGCUCUAACGUCACUCUGCUGUGUUCACACUGUGAGCUGGUGACAGACGCACACAGGCGCAGCUUCUUCUCUACAGCAGCAGCUGAAAAGGCUGAUGUGAGGUGAGGAAUCAGUGAGUGUCUGCACGUCACACGCUGUCAGUGAGACACUUCUGAGGAAGGAGAGAGACAUCACAGAAAGUGUCAAACAAAGGUGUUAUAAAACAUCAACUUUGGACCUGUUGCUGGUCCUCAGCUUUGGCUCCGCCCCACUUCCUUGUGUCCCAGCUUCUUGUCUGUGGUUAGUUAGUGGAGCAGGUGUGUAG
rnacentral:lncRNA from 1 species